rnacentral:rRNA from 1 species
AGCGAACGCUGGCGGCAGGCUUAACACAUGCAAGUCGAACGCAUCGCAAGAUGAGUGGCAGACGGGUGAGUAACGCGUGGGAAUCUACCCAUCUCUGCGGAAUAGCUCUGGGAAACUGGAAUUAAUACCGCAUACGCCCUACGGGGGAAAGAUUUAUCGGGGAUGGAUGAGCCCGCGUUGGAUUAGCUAGUUGGUGGGGUAAAGGCCUACCAAGGCGACGAUCCAUAGCUGGUCUGAGAGGAUGAUCAGCCACAUUGGGACUGAGGCACGGCCCAAACUCCUACGGGAGGCAGCAGUGGGGAAUAUUGGACAAUGGGCGCAAGCCUGAUCCAGCCAUGCCGCGUGAGUGAUGAAGGCCUUAGGGUUGUAAAGCUCUUUCACCGGUGAAGAUAACGACGGUAACCGGAGAAGAAGCCCCGGCUAACUUCGUGCCAGCCGCCGCCGUAA